rnacentral:rRNA from 1 species
UGGGGAAUAUUGCACAAUGGGCGCAAGCCUGAUGCAGCCAUGCCGCGUGUGUGAAGAAGGCCUUCGGGUUGUAAAGCACUUUCAGCGGGGAGGAAGGCGAUAAGGUUAAUAACCUUGUCGAUUGACGUUACCCGCAGAAGAAGCACCGGCUAACUCCGUGCCAGCAGCCGCGGUAAUACGGAGGGUGCAAGCGUUAAUCGGAAUUACUGGGCGUAAAGCGCACGCAGGCGGUCUGUCAAGUCGGAUGUGAAAUCCCCGGGCUCAACCUGGGAACUGCAUUCGAAACUGGCAGGCUAGAGUCUUGUAGAGGGGGGUAGAAUUCCAGGUGUAGCGGUGAAAUGCGUAGAGAUCUGGAGGAAUACCGGUGGCGAAGGCGGCCCCCUGGACAAAGACUGACGCUCAGGUGCGAAAGCGUGGGAGCAAACAGG